AUAAUAUCCAUGUUAAAGCCAAAGACAGUAGGGACUUAUGUUUAAAUAUCCUACCGAGGUAAGAAUUAAAGAAACGAAAAUUCUAUCUCACUGGCUUUAGUGGGAUUUUUUAUUUUAUGGG
rfam:Peptoniphilus sp. BV3C26 contig00001, whole genome shotgun sequence.